rnacentral:lncRNA from 1 species
CUACAUAUCACAGAACCCUUCUAUAAAUCAGGUUUGAACGUUCUCUUCCCCUGUCAUCUUAGUGUUGGUAAUGGUUGAAGCCUUAAGUGCAGGCUGGUAAGCAGGAGUGUAGACCAUGGUAACAUUCCCUCAGAGCCUGCUAAGGCCCAAACAUGUAUAUUCCAUUUUUAUUUGACGAUAGAAUACUGCUCUACAUGUCCAAUUCAUGGUUUAGUGGGUCUACAUGUCCAUUAGGGGCAAAUCAGGUCAUGUUAAUGGUUGCCCAUGGUUAAGCAUUUCCUCUUUCUAAGAUCCUGUAGCAGGCCAAGAGCUUUUUCUCAAAAGAGUCAUCUACAGUAGGUGGCAGAGUUUUGCUUCAAGGUCUGUGCUGCAUUUCAACAGAGGCCUGCCAAAGUCUCCAAAAAACAUCUCUUUAUCUGCCACUGCCACUUCAGGCUUCAUUGAAUCUGCUGGGUCAUAUCCCCAAGCAUCAGAACAACUUGCACAGUAGCCUGGGCCUGUUGCAAAGUUGCCUUCUCCAGAGUCCAUUUGAAUCUAUCAGUAUUUUGAGUCAGUAAAUGGGUUAGAAUAACAAACCCAAAUGACAAAUGUUUCCUCCAAAGUCCAAAGAGGUUCAUUAGAUGUCCUCCUUUUAUAUGAGGCACCAGAUGUAACAACUUUUCCUUCACCUUUAGAAAGGAUAUCAACACACUGUACAGUACUGAACUCAGAAAUUUCACCUAUAUAGAAGACUCUUGGACUUGCAUAAUCAUCUCCCAUCCAUUAGCAUGCAAAUGUUUUGUACAUAAGAUCCUUUAAAAUAAAUUAUGACAUAAAAUCCUGAAAUUGGAUAAUAACAGUAUAUUGCUGCCCUUAACCAGUUGAAAGCAAUUACUUCUGAUAGACUUUAUGGACCAGUAGGGAGAAAAAUCCAUUUUGUCAGUUAAGUAGCCGCAUACCAGGUACCAGAAGAUAUGUUAAUUUGAUCAAGUAGUUAAAUCGUAUCUGGUACAGCAGCUACAAUUGGAGUCACCACUUGAUUAAGCUUAAAAUAAUCCACUGUUAUUCUCUGAAAUCCACCUGUCUUCUGCAAAGGUCAGAAAGGCAGGUUGAGAGGGAAGUUAGUGGGAAUCACCACCACCACAUCCUUAAGUCCGUGACUGUGACACUAGCCUCCAUUAUCCUUCCAGGAAUGACCUGAUUCUGAUUUACUAUUUUCCUAGGUAGAGACAGUUUUAGUGGCUUUCCUUUGGUCUUUCACACUGUAAUAACCUUUGCUCCGUGACAUACAAAAAAAAAAAGUGAGAUCAUUCCAUUUCUAAUGAUGUUAAAUUUGAUCACCCAAUAAAGUGGUAGCCAAAAGAUCUCUCCUUUGCAUAUUUUCCCCUUUGCAGUUAUUAAUCUGUGGGUAAUACUUUAUGCAAAUAUCCUGUAUUCUAAAGUAUGUUUGUUUCUUAAAACUUAGCUCUCAUACCUUUGAUAAGCAAUUUUAACUAAGGACAUAAUUAGUUGAAAGCAAUUUAAAAAGCUUUUAGAAACUGAAACAAAUGUCAUAUCUUAAACAGGACAGGAGAAAAAAAUUCCUGAGCUAAGAGGAGAGGUGAUUUUUACUAAUGAUAGUCAAGGUAUUAAUGUUCCUGUUAUAUAAAGGAAUGUUUCAAGUUGGUGAGAAAAGAUUACCAUAGAAAAAUAGGUAAAGGACAUCAAU